rnacentral:rRNA from 1 species
UCGAGGGGUAACAGAGAUUGCUUGCAAUCUGCUGACGACCGACGCACGAGUGAGUAACGCGUAUGCACCCUACCUUUUUCUGGGGGAUAGUCAAGAGAAAUUUUGAAUAAUACCCCAUACGAUCAGGUUCACUCAUGUGAAUCAGAAGAAAAUUUCGAUGGUGAAAGAUGGGCAUGCGUCCUAUUAGUUUGUUGGUGAGGUAAUGGCUUACCAAGACUUCGAUAGGUAGGGGUCCUGAGAGGGAGAUCCCCCACACUGGUACUGAGACACGGACCAGACUCCUACGGGAGGCAGCAGUGAGGAAUAUUGGACAAUGGAGGAAACUCUGAUCCAGCCAUGCCGCGUGCAGGAAGACGGCCCUAUGGGUUGUAAACUGCUUUUAUACAGGAAGAAACUUUAGUACGUGUACUGAACUGACGGUACUGUAAGAAUAAGG